rnacentral:Y_RNA from 1 species
GGUUGGCCGAGUGCAGUGGUGUUUACAACUAAUUGAUCACAACCAGUUACAGAUUCCUUUGUUCCUUCUCCACUCCCACUGCUUCACUUGACUGGCCUAAA